AUGGCUGAUCAAGCGAUCACAGCGAUGCCCGCUGAGGCGAAGCGAGCGGAAUUCGAGUCUGGCACGGCGGCCGACCCGGGGAAUGGCGAGCUGUGGCGCCGCUUCGUCAGGUUCGAGCUGGAGGAGGGCGGCGGAAUCGAGGCCGCCCGCGCCGUCUACGAGCGACUUCUCGCCGCACUUCCCGAUGGAGAGACAUACAUGUGGGACUGGUUCUGGAGGGAGCGCGAGUUCGGCGACGUCGACAGCCAGCGGCGCGCGCUCCAGCGGUGGGCGCGGUGGGCGCAGGCCGAGGGAGGCGGCUUCCUU
rnacentral:rRNA from 1 species